UGAGGAAUAUUGGUCAAUGGGCGAGAGCCUGAACCAGCCAAGUAGCGUGCAGGAUGACGGCUCUAUGGGUUGUAAACUGCUUUUAUGGGGGGAUAAAGUGCGUGACGUGUCAUGCAUUGCAGGUACCACAUGAAUAAGGACCGGCUAAUUCCGUGCCAGCAGCCGCGGUAAUACGGAAGGUCCGGGCGUUAUCCGGAUUUAUUGGGUUUAAAGGGAGCGUAGGCUGUCUAUUAAGCGUGUUGUGAAAUUUACCGGCUCAACCGGUGGCUUGCAGCGCGAACUGGUCGACUUGAGUAUGCAGGAAGUAGGCGGAAUUCAUGGUGUAGCGGUGAAAUGCUUAGAUAUCAUGACGAACACCAAUUGCGAAGGCACCUUACUGGAGCAUAACUGACGCUGAUGCUCGAAAGUGCGGGUAUCAAACAGG
rnacentral:rRNA from 1 species